GGCCCUGUGGCCUAAUGGAUAAGGCGUCGGUCUCCUAAAACGAAGAUUCAAGGUUCGAGUCCUUGUUGGUUCG
rnacentral:tRNA from 1 species